ensembl:snRNA U6 U6 spliceosomal RNA
GUGCUCACUGCAGCAGCACAUACAGUAAAACUGGACCCGUACAGGGAAGAUUAGCGUGGCCUCUGCACCAGGAUGGCCCACAAACUCAUGACGUCCAUGUUUUU